rnacentral:misc_RNA from 1 species
GAUGAAGAACGCAGCGAAAUGCGAUACGUAAUGUGAAUUGCAGAAUUCAGUGAAUCAUCGAAUCUUUGAACGCAUAAUGCGCUCUCUGGUAUUCCGGAGAGCAUGCUUGUUUGAGUAUCAGUAAACACCUCAACUUCCAUAUCUUUUUUGAAAUGGGAGUUGGACUUGAGUGAUCCCAACGCUUUUCCUCACCGAAAAGUGGCGGGUUACUUGAAAUGCAGGUGCAGCUGGACUUUUCUCUGAGCUAUAAGCAUAUCUAUUUAGUCUGCCUAAAAAACAGAUUAUUACCUUUGCUGCAGCUAACAUAAAGGAGAUUAGUUCUUGUGCUGACUGAUGCAGGAUUCACAAAGACAGGCUUCGGCCGACUUUGUAAACUCGAUCUCAAAUCAAGUAAGACUACCCGCUGAACUUAAGCAUAUCAAUAAGCGGAGGA